rnacentral:misc_RNA from 1 species
GAACUGCGAUAAGUAAUGUGAAUUGUAGAAUUCAGUGAAUCAUCGAGUCUUUGAACGCACAUUGCGCCCCCUGGCAUUCCGGGGGGCAUGCCUGUCCGAGCGUCAUUGCUGCCCUCAAGCCCGGCUUGUGUGUUGGGUCGUCGUCCCCCCCGGGGGACGGGCCCGAAAGGCAGCGGCGGCACCGUGUCCGGUCCUCGAGCGUAUGGGGCUUUGUCACCCGCUCGAUUAGGGCCGGCCGGGCGCCAGCCGGCGUCUCCAACCUUAUUUUUCUCAGGUUGACCUCGGAUCAGGUAGGGAUACCCGCUGAACUUAAGC